ensembl:lncRNA
GCGGACCCCCCCCUGCUGUUGAGCAGCACCUACCCGUGCUGCACGCUGCCCGCCCGCCGCCUGCCCCCCCACGGCCUGCCCGAGAAGAAGGGCCCCAUCUCAGCCUCAGAGCUGUCUUUGGCUGCUGCCCCCCGGCGCAUGGAGCCCGGAAUGAUGCCCCUUCCCGACAGCACCGGGCUGGAGUGGGCCAGCCUGGUCAGCGCAGCCAAGGCCUAUGAAGUGCAGCGCGCCGUCUCCCUCUUCUCCCUCACCGACCCCACGCCACCCCCGACCCCCCCCGCACGAGUCAGGUUUUCCAAUUGGAGGCAAUGCUGAAACAGCUGCACAGCGACCUGCAGAAGGAGAAGCACGACAAAGUGGUGCUGCAGGCCGAGGUGGCCGAUCUGCGCCAGGACAACCGGCGGCUGCAGGAGGAGUCGCAGAGCGCCAGCGAGCAGCUCCGGCGCUUCGCACGGCUCUUCGCCACCAACCCCCCCCCAAAAAAGGAAGCUCUGAGCACCCAUGGGUGGGGGGGGGGGGCACGGAGACCCCCCCCACCCAACCAACCUAUGGGGGUCCUAUGAGGCCCAGAGUGGUCCUAUGGGGUUUCUAUGGGACCGGGAGCGGUGAUACGGACUGCAGCUGAGGUGCUUCGCCAGCAGCCCCCCCCCAAAAAAGGAGCUCUGAGCACCCAUGGGUGGGGGGGGGGGGCACGGAGACCCCCCCCCACCCCACCGCCCAACCCCACCCAUGGGGGUCCUGUGGGGUUUCUAUGGGACCGGGAGCAGUGAUACAGACUAUGGGACCGGGAGCUGCAGUGCUUUGUCAGUGACCCCCCCCCAAAAAGGAGCUCUGAGCACCCAUGGGUGGGGGUGGGGGGCACGGAGACCCCCCCACCCAACCAACCUAUGGGGGUCCUAUGAGGCCCAGAGUGGUUCUGUGGGGUCCUGUGGGGUUUCUAUGGGACCGGGACUGUUCGUAUGGACCAAAGCUGCACUGCUUUACUGCCACCCCCUCCCAAAAAGGAGCUCUGAGCACCCAUGGGUGGGGGGGGGGCCAUGGAGACCCCCCCGCCCCACCCCCCCACCCCCACCCAUGGGGGUCCUAUGAGGCCCAGAGUGAUUCUGUGGGGUCCUGUGGGGUUUCUAUGGGACCGGGAGUGGUGAUAUGGGCUGAAGAUGCGCCUCUUUGCUGCCCCCCCCCCAAAAAGGAGCUCUGAGCACCCAUGGGUGGGGGGGAGGGGGGGAAAUGGAGACCCCCCCCCCCCACCCAUGGGGCUCCUAUGGGGUUAUAUGGGACCGGGUGUGUCUAUAUGGGACUGGGAGCAGCUAUAUGGGCGGGAGGGGGGGGUGAACAGCCCCCCACCCCACCCAGAGCCCCACGUAUGGGACCAGGAGCAGCUAUAUGGGACCAGGAGGGCCUAUAUGGGACCAGGAACAGCUAUAUGGGACCAGGGGAGUCUAUAUGGAAUCAGGAGGGCCCAUAUAGGACCAGGAGCAGCUAUAUGGGACCAGUGGUGUCUAUAUGGGACUGGGAGCAGCUAUAUGGGACCAGAAGGGUCCAUAUGGGACCAGGGGGGUCUAUAUUGGACCAGGAGGGCCUGUAUGGGACCAGGAGCAGCUAUAUGGGACCGGGGGGGUCUAUAUGGGACCAGGAGGGCCUAUGUGGGACUGGGAGCAGCUAUAUGGGACCAGGGGGGUCUAUAUGGGACCAGGAGGGUUUAUAUGGGACCAAGAGCAUCUGUGUAGGACCAAAAGGAUCUAUAUGGGACCAGGAGCAUCUCUGUAAGGCCAAGGACAUAUUCCUAUAGGACCAGGAGCGUCCUAUGGGGCCAUAAGCAUCCAUAUAGGACCAGGAGCGUCCUAUGGGGCCAUAAGCAUCCAUAUGGGGCCAGGAGCGUCUCUAUAGGGCUGGGACCACUCCUAUAGGGCCGGGAGCUCCCAUAGAUGCCCAGCAGUGCUCCUAUAGGGCCAGGACUACUCCUGUGGGGCCGGGACCAUUCCUAUGGGGCCAGCAGUGCCCCUAUAGGGCCAGGCGCACCCUAUAGGACAUGGGGCACCUAUAGGGCCGCCCCCCCCCCCCCUUUGCGGUCUUCCAUCUCCGCCCCACGGCAAUAAUGGGGUUGGGGGGUCGUUCCACCCCCCCCCCCCCCCCCCCUCCGCACGACCCCAUAUAUUUUUUUCGGUGCAAAAUCCCCCAAAACGACCCCCCCUUCCCCCCCCCCCCCCCCCCCGGAGCACUUUUUUUGUCGUCGUCCUUUUGCCCCCCCCCCAAUUAAUUAAUUCCCUAAAUUAUUUCCUCAGGAAACGCGGAUCCCCCCCUCGGAAAUGCCCCAAUUCCCCGUUUUUUACCCCAUUUUUCCUCCUUUUCCCCCUCCUUUCCCCCUCCUCCCCACUUCCGCCCCAUUUCCCCCGACUUCCGCCCCCACUUCCGCCCCCCCUUCCCCCUCCCUUCCUCCAUUUCCUCUCCCCCAUUUCCACCCCCGUUUCUCCCCAAUUCCACCCCAUUUCCCCCUCACUUCCGCCUCCACUUCCUCCCCACUUCCGCCCCCCUCUCCCACUUCUGUUCCCAUUUCCUCCUCCGUUUCCCCCCUAUUUCCCCAUUUCCCCUCACACUUCCGCCCCCAUUUCCCCACUUCCUCCCAUCCCCCCACUUCAUUUCCCUCACUUCCUCCCAGUUUUCCCCCCACUUCCGCCCCCUCCCCCACUUCUGCUCCCAUUCCAUUUCCCCCUCCAUUUCCCCCCCGCUUCCCCAUUUCCCCCUCACUUCCGCCUCCACUUCCUCCCCACUUCCUCCCCUCCCCCCCACUUCCGCCAUUUCCCCCACUCCCUCCCACCCCCCCACUUCAUUUCCCUCACUUCCUCCCACUUUUCCCACUUCCGCCCCCCUCCCCCACUUCUGCUCCCAUUUCCCCCUCCAUUUCCCCCCCACUUCCCCAUUUCCCCCCACUUCCGCCUCCACUUCCUCCCCUCCCCCCACUUCCGCCAUUCCCCCCCACUUCCUCCUCCCUCCCCUCCCCCACUUCUGCCCCCCAGUUCCCCCCCCUCCCUAUUUACCCCCCCACUUCCCCCCCACUUCCUCCCCAUUUCCCCCCCACUUCCUCCCUAUUUCCUCCCCAUUUCCCCCCCCCCCACUCUGGGACCCCCCCAGAACAGCACUGUGUAAAUUUCCCCCUUUAAUUUUAUAUCUCUUAUUUAAUUCCCCCCCCCCCCCCAAAAAAAAAACACCCAAAUUUGGGUCAUUUGACCCCAAUUUCCGCGCCCCCCCCCCCCCCACUUCCGCCCUCCCCACUUCCGGCUUCCUCCCCCC